rnacentral:rRNA from 1 species
GAGUAAAGAUUUCGGUCGCUUUGGGAGGAGCUCGCCUACUAUCAGCUUGUUGGUAGGGUAAUGGCCUACCAAGGCUAUGACGGUUAGGGGGUGUGAGAGCAUGACCCCCAGCAUUGGCACUGAAACACUGGCCAAACACCUACGGGUGGCUGCAGUCGAGAAUCUUCCACAAUGGGGGAAACCCUGAUGGAGCGAUGCUGCGUGCGGGAUGAAGGCCUUCGGGUUGUAAACCGCUUUUGUAGGGGACGAAAUUUUUGACGGUACCCUUUCGAAUAAGAGGUUGCUAACUCUGUGCCAGCAGCAGCGGUAAUACAGAGACCUCAAGCGUUAUCCGGAUUUACUGGGCGUAAAGCGUCUGUAGGGGGUUUAUUAAGUUCCAAGUAAAAUUUUAAGGCUCAACUUUGAAUUCGCUUGGAAAACUAAUAAACUGGAGUCUAGCAGAGGUGCAUGGAACUUGUGGUGUAGGAGUGAAAUCCGUUGAUAUCACAAGGAACACCAAAGGCGAAGGCAUUGCACUGGGCUAGCACUGACCCUGAGAGACGAAAGCGUGGGGAGCAAAACGGAUUAGAUACCCGUGUAGUCCACGCCCUAAACGAUGAAUGCUAAAUGUUCGGGGAUUCGACCCCCUGGGUGUUACAGCUAACGCGUUAAGCAUUCCGCCUGGGAAGUACGGCCGCAAGGCUAAAACUCAAAGGAAUAGACGGGGAUCCGCACAAGCGGUGGAGCGUCUGGUUUAAUUCGACAGUAAGCGUGGUACCUCACCAGGGUUUGACAUCCCUUGACAGCCUUGGAAACAAGGUUUCCUUCGGGCAAGGUGACAGGUGCUGCAUGGUCGUCGUCAGUUCGUGCCGUGAGGUGUUCCGUUAAGUCGGGAAACGAACGAAACCCCUAUUGCAUGUUACAAUUUCUCAUGCAAGACUGCCCGGAUAUACUGGGAGGAAGGUGGGGAUGACGUCAGAUCUGCAUGGUCCUUAUACCCUGGGCGACACAGGCGCUACAAUGGCAGAGACAAAGGGUUGCAAAACCGCAAGGUGAAGCUAAUCCCAAAAACUUUGUCUAAGUUCGGAUUGAGGGCUGCAAUUCGCCUUCAUGAAGCUGGAAUCGCUAGUAAUCGUGAAUCAGCCACGUCACGGUGAAUAUGUUCCCGGAUCUUGUACUCACCGCCCGUCACACCAAGAGAGUUGGUAGCUCCCGAAG